rnacentral:rRNA from 1 species
GACGAACGCUGGCGGCGUGCUUAACACAUGCAAGUCGAACGGAAAGGCCCUGCUUUUGUGGGGUGCUCGAGUGGCGAACGGGUGAGUAACACGUGAGUAACCUGCCCUUGACUUUGGGAUAACUUCAGGAAACUGGGGCUAUUACCGGAUAGGAGCUCCUGCUGCAUGGUGGGGGUGGGAAAGUUUCGGCGGUUGGGGAUGGACUCGCGGCUUAUCAGCUUGUUGGUGGGGUAGUGGCUUACCAAGGCUUUGACGGGUAGCCGGCCUGAGAGGGUGACCGGCCGCAUUGGGACUGAGAUACGGCCCAGACUCCUACGGGAGGCAGCAGUGGGGAAUAUUGCACAAUGGGCGGAAGCCUGAUGCAGCAACGCCGCGUGCGGGAUGACGGCCUUCGGGUUGUAAACCGCUUUCGCCUGUGACGAAGCGUGAGUGACGGUAAUGGGUAAAGAAGCACCGGCUAACUACGUG